rnacentral:rRNA from 1 species
UACAGAGGUCCCAAGCGUUGUUCGGAUUCACUGGGCGUAAAGGGUGCGUAGGUGGUCGGGUAAGUCUGAGGUGAAAUCUCCGAGCUCAACUCGGAAACUGCCUUGGAUACUAUCCGGCUUGAGGGUUGGAGGGGGGACUGGAAUUCUCGGUGUAGCAGUGAAAUGCGUAGAUAUCGAGAGGAACACCAGUGGCGAAGGCGAGUCCCCUGGACAACUCCUGACGCUGAGGCACGAAAGCUAGGGGAGCAAACAGG